AACGAACGCUGGCGGCAGGCUUAACACAUGCAAGUCGAGCGCCCCGCAAGGGGAGCGGCAGACGGGUGAGUAACGCGUGGGAACGUACCCUUUGCUACGGAAUAGCCCCGGGAAACUGGAAUUAAUACCAUAUGUGCCCUACGGGGGAAAGAUUUAUCGGCAAAGGAUCGGCCCGCGUUGGAUUAGCUAGUUGGUGGGGCAAUGGCCUGCUAAGGCGACGAUCCAUAGCUGGUCUGAGAGGAUGAUCAGCCACCUUGGGACUGAGACACGGCCCAAACUCGUCCGGGAGGCAGCAGUGGGGAAUGUUGGACAGUGGGCGCAAGCCUGCUCCAGCCAUGCCGCGUGAGUGAUGAAGGCCUUAGGGUUGUAAAGCUCUUUCACCGGAGAAGAUAAUGACGGUAUCCGGAGAAGAAGCCCCGGCUAACUUCGUGCCAGCCGCCGCCGUAAUAC
rnacentral:rRNA from 1 species